rnacentral:rRNA from 1 species
AACGAACGCUGGCGGCAGGCUUAACACAUGCAAGUCGAACGCCCCGCAAGGGGAGUGGCAGGCGGGUGAGUAACGCGUGGGAACAUACCCUUUCCUGCGGAAUAGCCCUGGGAAACUGGAAUUAAUACCGCAUACGCCCUACGGGGGAAAGAUUUAUCGGGGAAGGAUUGGCCCGCGUUGGAGUAGCUAGUUGGUGGGGUAAAGGCCUACCAAGGCGACGAUCCAUAUCUGGUCUGAGAGGAUGAUCAGCCACAUUGGGACUGAGACACGGCCCAAACGCCUACGGGAGGCAGCAGUGGGGAAUAUUGGACAAUGGGCGCAAGCCUGAUCCAGCCAUGCCGCGUGAGUGAUGAAGGCCUUAGGGUUGUAAAGCUCUUUCACCGAUGAAGAUAAUGACGGUAGUCGGAGAAGAAGCCCCGGCUAACUUCGUGCCAGCAGCCGCCGUAACAC